UCAGCCACAACACACACACUAACACCUAAAACACACACACACUUCACGCAUAACACCAUUUUCUUUGGUGUUGGAGCUUUUGACCUCCGAUUUGAGCACCGAGACGAGCGUCGAUCAUCUUUUCGAUCACGUAUCUAAGUAGGUCCUUUUGGGAAGUAACGACUUGAGGGAGAGAGUGACGUUACUCAUUGAUACAGAGACACAACGAGGUUGAGCUGAUGUGAUGAUGGUGCUGCAAUGAGCGGAGUCUCCAGGGUUGUUAAUAAAUAGUUAACCUGUCUAGAAUAUGUCUUCAUACAUAUGUCUAGCUACUUUCCGCUGUAAGAUGUUGUUGAUGUUAUAGUAUGUUAUGUCAUACUUUGAGUCUUAAGAGAAUGGUUUCAUACGAUGUAUAACUUGAUUAAUGAUAUUAAUUAAGUUUUAUGUUGUCUUUCAUAGACUGUUUUCAAUUGAGUAUUAAUGAAUAAAAAUGACGAGUUUUAUUAAGAUGAGUAAGUUUUACGGCUAUAAAUGACGCCCCUUUUCUUCCCCUUCUUCUUUAACCCCAUCCCUAGUCGUGGAUCACUCGGCCUAACUAUCCAUAGUUAGGGCGGGCUGUGACAGAGUGGUAUCAGAGCGAAGGAAAGCUCUGAAUUUGAAGUCUUGAGUUUAGUCUAGAAUGAGUUACUAGGCUAAUAGUUAUUAACAACCGUGAGCUCAGCGCACCAUCACACCAGGCUCAACGAGGUAUGUAAAAUUUCAAAGUUUAUUUGACGUUAAAUUUUGAAGAGCAUGAUGUUGAGGUUAUAUGAUGAGUUAUGAUGUUACACU